rnacentral:rRNA from 1 species
UACAGAGGGUGCAAGCGUUGUUCGGAAUUAUUGGGCGUAAAGCGCGUGUAGGCGGCUUGGCAAGUCGGGUGUGAAAUCCCUCAGCUCAACUGAGGAAGUGCGCCCGAAACUGCUUUGCUUGAGUGCCAGAGAGGAUGGCGGAAUUCCCCAAGUAGAGGUGAAAUUCGUAGAUAUGGGGAGGAACACCGGUGGCGAAGGCGGCCAUCUGGAUGGUUACUGACGCUGAGACGCGAAAGCGUGGGGAGCAAACAGG